rnacentral:rRNA from 1 species
UUGGAGGGCAAGUCUGGUGCCAGCAGCCGCGGUAAUUCCAGCUCCAAUAGCGUAUAUUAAAGUUGUUGCAGUUAAAAAGCUCGUAGUUGAAUUUCGAGAUCAGUACGCUGGUCGUGCCUUUGGUAUGCACUGGUGUCACUGGUUUCUCCCUUCUGAAGAACUGUCAUGCCAUUCAGUUGGUGUGGCGGGGAAUCAGGACUGUUACUUUGAAAAAAUUAGAGUGUUUAAAGCAGGCUCGCGCUUGAAUACAUUAGCAUGGAAUGAUGAAAUAGGACGUUUGACCCUAUUUUGUUGGUUUCUAGGAUCGACGUAAUGAUUAAUAGGGAUAGUUGGGGGCAUUAGUAUUCAAUUGUCAGAGGUGAAAUUCUUGGAUUUAUUGAAGACUAACUACUGCGAAAGCAUUUGCCAAGGAUGUUUUCAUUAAUCAAGAACGAAAGUUAGGGGAUCGAAGACGAUCAGAUACCGUCGUAGUCUUAACCAUAAACUAUGCCGACUAGGGAUCGGAUGAUGUUAAUUUUUUAAUGACUCAUUCGGCGCCUUACGGGAAAC